rnacentral:lncRNA from 1 species
AGCGUUUCCUUCCACGGCAGCGGCAGCGGUCGCUCUCCUCAAAAUUGAUAGCCAGUGCAGCGUUUUUUCUCCUCCUCCUCCUCUUCCUGCCUCCGCACGGCGCGCUCCCCGGUCCCUGCAACUGCCACAGCUACCGCCUUGGCAGCUGGGCAACUUGGAAGGCUCCCCUGGGAUGGCGGGGGAGUGGGGCGCAUGCCAGAAAGAAAAAGGCAUUUGGAGUCACCCUUACUUCUACUGUCAAGGGGACGUGAAGGAGAGUGUGGUCACAAGUCGCGAGGGUCGCCUGAACCGUCGCUGCAGAUCGGAGACGUGGGUUUCUGGCAGUAUGCAAAGCAAGCGUCCCCUCCCGCCGCUCCUGCGAGCUCUACUACCGAAUGCCUUACGCAGCCCUUGUGUUUGGGGAAAGAGGGGGACCUAUACAGAAUGAAAAAACAC